rnacentral:rRNA from 1 species
AUUGAACGCUGGCGGCAGGCUUAACACAUGCAAGUCGAGCGGGGAAGGUUGCUUCGGUAACUAACCUAGCGGCGGACGGGUGAGUAAUGCUUAGGAAUCUGCCUAUUAGUGGGGGACGACAUUCCGAAAGGAAUGCUAAUACCGCAUACGCCCUACGGGGGAAAGCAGGGGAUCUUCGGACCUUGCGCUAAUAGAUGAGCCUAAGUCGGAUUAGCUAGUUGGUGGGGUAAAGGCCUACCAAGGCGACGAUCUGGAGCGGGUCUGAGAGGAUGAUCCGCCACACUGGGACUGAGACACGGCCCAGACUCCUACGGGAGGCAGCAGUGGGGAAUAUUGGACAAUGGGCGGAAGCCUGAUCCAGCCAUGCCGCGUGUGUGAAGAAGGCCUUUUGGUUGUAAAGCACUUUAAGCGAGGAGGAGGCUCCUUUAGUUAAUACCUAAAGUGAGUGGACGUUACUCGCAGAAUAAGCACCGGCUAACUCUGUGCCAGCCGCCGCAGUAAUAC